rnacentral:misc_RNA from 1 species
AUGUUUACAGGAAAGAGUUUAGGUGUAAGUGCUUUCCAUUUUUUUUCCAGUAGCAACAAAGGCUCAAAUCCAUUUUUUGUUUUGUGUUGGUCAAAACUGUUAAUAAGAAACAUUGUCUUUAAGGCUCUAUUUGGAUGAAGUUAGAGGAGGGAGAUAAAGAGGGAUAAGUAACUUGUGUACUCCUGUUUGAAUUUUGGAAAGAAGUGAAUUAAUGAAUCCUUACCCUUCCUUGCCCCCUCAAAUCUCAAUUUUUCUUA